GCCCUAAGUUACGUGUUUAUGAACAAAAAGGCAUAAUGGAGUCCAAGUGCGCAGGCUGGCGCGAAAGCAUGUCGGCGACGGUAUUAAAGUUGUGCAAAGCCUUCGGGUGGAGCGCCGCCUAUCGAAAAGGAAUCGGAUUAAUAUUCCCGAGCCUCGACGAGGAUAAUUAAGGCGGUAACGCAAAUGAACUACGUGACGUCAGUUGGAGCCCUGGGAAGAGUUCUCUUUUCUUUUUAACGAAUCACUACCAUGAAAUCAUUUUAUUUGGAGCUAUGGUUUAAUAUUCGGUAAAGCAGUCUACUUCUUGGACUGUAGUUCCAUUCGCCUGGUGUAUGGCGGAUAUCUACACGAUGGCGGCGAACCUAUUCAACGAGGC
rnacentral:ncRNA from 1 species